GGCUCGGCCUAGGCGAAGGCGCUGCUAGCCCUGAGGGACUCGUGACAACGUUUCCGCAGCCGUCUGUACUCCUGCUCCUGUUCCCUUCCCCGGCGUGUUUCCGCCACGCUGCCCCGGCACCGGGAGGGGUACAGAGCUCUGAGCCCCCACCGUGCUGCCUGGCUGGGAUCCAGGUCAGCGCUGUCCCCGCGGGGCCUCGCUGCUGCCACCCCCCGCGCAGAGACAGCUCUCAGUGAGCAGUGCUCGUCCUGGGUGAGCUCUCAGCCCCCCAGGGACGCUUCCAUCGCCCCAGCCCUCGCCCCUGCCAGCCGCUCUCCCUUUUCCCACACAUGCUCCGCAGCCGCGUUGUGCCCAAACCCUGGUUCCGGGGUUAGGGUGAAGCCCCUCCUGUCCCCCAACGUAAACCACAGCUCUAUUCCAGAUCCACUGCCGGCAGGAUGAACCCUUCGACCCCGCGUUGACUCUGCUGUAACCCGGUAGAAUAGUUCGAACCAGCCACUUCCGGAGCCACUCCUGCCCGAGCGAGCCUCGCCGCGUGUGGAUCCCCCAGGAAGACGCCGGGAUGCCUGCACCGAGCACGAUGCUGAUGCUGCUUGUUGUUCUCCGUACUGCCCUGCCAGCGCCCACCCGGCUCAACCUGCACAGAGAUGUUGCGGGGAGCUGGCGGUCGCAGUUCCUUUGUAACUCCAGCUAGUUUGCGUCUCAUGCUCGGGAAGGCUCUCUCUGGUUUCUGCUUCACCUCAUUUGCAGCUUCAGGUGAUUUGUUUCUGCUCCCAGUUUGUCUCAGGUUGAGCUCUUAGAGUUUGUUCGUGCCUCCAGCAUGUUGUAGACUCCAAGCUGGUUUCACCUUCCCCGGCUUAAUUUUGGCUCCAGCUUAUUUCCAUAUUUAAUUGGUCUGUGGCUCCAGUUCAUUUCUGCUCUGGCUCAUUGCUGCUUGUGCUUGUUCGAAUAAUCUUGACUUUUGACAGGGCCACAAAUCAAGUACUAUCAUAACUUAAAUAUGAACAGACAUAAUUGUAUGUUGUCUGAAGAUGGACUGAGCUUCUUGGACCUAUGCAAGUGGACCUUCAAUCUCCAGUGGGAUUCCACACAGGUGCUCCCAUACUGGUUCCAACUGUCAGGAAAAUCUACAAACACCAGAAUUUUAUGUCCAUAAAGGGGACAGAGGAGUCCUGCAACUUUACUCGAGUAAAGGGAGAGAGUCCACUGGGGCACAAGCCCAUGGGGUUUUCUCUCUUGAGGUUUUGGAGGGUGCAGCCUCUAUCCUCAACUCCCAGCUGCAAGUUGCCCUCUUCCUUUCCCCAUUGCCUGAGAUACUCAGAAGGUACAGCCUUCCCAAACCACAUAUUCCACAUAUUGCCACAUAUUCCCCUCUUGUACCUACUAUUUUACCCCAAAGUUCAGAAACUCAAUUUUGUGCAGACCCACUUAUUUGUUUCAGGAGCCAAGCUGUCUGGUCUCUGCAACAAACCUGCUGCUCAAAGGUAGUACAGACAUUGAGACCCAUUUAAAAUAUGUUAACCCCAUACCUUCACCCAUCAAAUUGUUUGGAAAGACAUUAGCUUUCCUCUCACCACCUUGAAGAAUAACAAAUAACAAAGUUCCAAGCAAAGUGGUUAAGUAAUGGAAGCAAUAAUCACAGGAAUAUGGAAGACAGAAAUUGAUUGCCUAAGUUCUUGAAAGGGAAAAACACAGAAAGAUAACAGCCUUCUAAUCCAGAAUAUAUAAUUAUGAACGAAAAAUAUCCCCAGUUUUGACUGGUUCUGUAGUGAAAACUUGCCCUAGUGAUGAACUUUUACUCCUUAUAAUAGGAAAAACCAUACCCCAGCUCAGGCACCUCCCCCUACAAAAGGACCACCACUCACCAAGCAUGGGCUAUGAUUUCUUGGGACACAGUGGCUUUAAUUUGAAGUAGAGAAAGGAUGAGCCAAUAAUAACUUAAGCCAAGUAGUGACUUAAGUAAGACUUAACAGCCCAAGAUUGUGCCUUGAGGUGCUGGGGUUUACCGCCCAGCACCUCUUUCUGCCAGAGCAGUAAAUCAAAUUACAUGUUGUGGUUAAAGAAAUCUCCUUUUUUACAGUGAAUGAGUUUGGUUGAGUAUCUGAUCCUGUGUGUUAACCUAUAGAAGCUCUCACCCUUUUCAACACACUGCUAAUCCCCUCAGUAAUUUUGAUAUAGGAAGAUGAUCCGAGGAAUGUUUGCACAUUGUUCUAGCUGAGAAGAUACAUUUUCCUUAUAAAUAGAGCCCUGAGGCCUCAAACUGUG